rnacentral:rRNA from 1 species
UACGAAGGGGGCUAGCGUUGUUCGGAUUUACUGGGCGUAAAGGGCGCGUAGGCGGCGCAACAAGUCACUUGUGAAAUCUCCGGGCUUAACCCGGAGCGGUCAAGUGAUACUGUCGUGCUAGAGUGCGGAAGGGGCUACUGGAAUUCUCGGUGUAGCGGUGAAAUGCGUAGAUAUCGAGAGGAACACCUGCGGCGAAGGCGGGUAGCUGGGCCGACACUGACGCUGAUGCGCGAAAGCCAGGGGAGCGAACGGG